rnacentral:misc_RNA from 1 species
UUUGAAUUCAAUGUUCUAAUCUAACAAUUUUCAUACUUUCACUCCUUCAAUCAGUAUCAAAGCCACUAUAUUUGCCAUUGUUUAAUAUCUGAUUUAAUUGUGUAAUUUGAUCAAAAGUUGAUUGAUUCAUUGCUGGUUGCAUAGAAUAUUGUGGCGGUAUCAUGUUUGUGCUUCAUAGUGCGCAUGGUUUUAGCACCACAAUGGUGCGCAAGGUAUAUGGGCUUUGAAUGUGCAAUUGUUGUAUGAUCUAAGGCCCAUCCCAUGACUAAUUAAAAUAUUUAAUUAGGAGUUUUAAUCACAC